rnacentral:rRNA from 1 species
CCUGGCGGCAGUAGCGCGGUGGUCCCACCUGACCCCAUGCCGAACUCAGAAGUGAAACGCCGUAGCGCCGAUGGUAGUGUGGGGUCUCCCCAUGCGAGAGUAAGGAACUGCCAGGC